GCGCGAAAACUUUGCAAUGCGGGAAACCGUGACAAGGGAACUCUGAGUGCCCGUAAAAUCGGGCUGUCCAUCGGUUUAAANAACCGGUGAAGAAAGGGCCGGGCAAGACCGGUGCCAGCCGCCGCGGUAAUACCGGCGGCUCGAGUGGUGGCCACUAUUACUGGGCUUAAAGCGUUCGUAGCUGGUUUGUUAAGUCUCUGGGGAAAUCUUCCGGCUCAACCGGAAGGCGUCUCAGGGAUACUGGCAGACUAGGGACCGGGAGAGGUGAGAGGUACUCCAGGGGUAGGA
rnacentral:rRNA from 1 species